rnacentral:rRNA from 1 species
AUUGAACGCUGGCGGCAGGCUUAACACAUGCAAGUCGAGCGGAGAGAGGUAGCUUGCUACUGAUCUUAGCGGCGGACGGGUGAGUAAUGCUUAGGAAUCUGCCUAUUAGUGGGGGACAACAUUUCGAAAGGAAUGCUAAUACCGCAUACGUCCUACGGGAGAAAGCAGGGGAUCUUCGGACCUUGCGCUAAUAGAUGAGCCUAAGUCGGAUUAGCUAGUUGGUGGGGUAAAGGCCUACCAAGGCGACGAUCUGUAGCGGGUCUGAGAGGAUGAUCCGCCACACUGGGACUGAGACACGGCCCAGACUCCUACGGGAGGCAGCAGUGGGGAAUAUUGGACAAUGGGCGGAAGCCUGAUCCAGCCAUGCCGCGUGUGUGAAGAAGGCCUUAUGGUUGUAAAGCACUUUAAGCGAGGAGGAGGCUACUUUAGUUAAUACCUAGAGAUAGUGGACGUUACUCGCAGAAUAAGCACCGGCUAACUCUGUGCCAGCCGCCACGGUAAAAC